AUAGUAAAUAUAUCUGUAAUGUAUACUUUUUUCUAGUUUGGAACUGCAUCAUCCAUAUAGCUUCUUUUCUGCCCUCUAGACAAGGGCUCCAGGAGAAGUUGACAGAUUCGGUUCUGAGAGCUAAGCUCACCAACUUGUCUCCCCCUCAACAGAUGAGGGAAGGGCAGGGAGCCUCUUCAGUGACUCCUGGCACUGCAGAAUCACUCAUCUUUGGAGGUGAGCAGGGAGAGCUCUGAGGAGUUUCCUCCUUGCAACUCAGGCGGAGAUUUCUUUAACUCAGGAGCAGCCUCCAUUGCUCCCGCCAACCCCUCACCAUGGCCCCUUGUCCCCUUGUCCCAACCAUAGCAUAGAGAUGACAAGAGAGAGGCGGUCCUAUUUCUGAGACUGGACCAAUUAAAAUGACUGCACUGGCUCAAGGACUCUGAACCUGUCUUGUCCUGGGUCCCCCAGUUAUUGGAAGCCACUCUUUUCCCCAACCAUGUUGAAAUGCCACCUUUACCACACACUGAUAUCUUAUAUAGACUUGGAUCUAUUUCUGGAACUUCUCUUCCCUUACCUGGGUGGCUCAUCUGGCACCAGCCAUACAAUUUUAACUAUUCAAUUUCUAAUGUCGAUUUCUAAUGUCUUAUUAUGUGGUGGGAUGAGUCCCUUCACUCUUCUUUUACAAAAUUUCCUAGUUAUUCUCUCACAUCUAUUCUUCCACAUAAACUUUAAAUUGUGCUCAGUCUUCCACCCCCUGUCCCAUUCCCACCCCAAAUCCUGGGCCCUGUCAUUCGCUGUGCCAUCAUCUUCCCCGCAUUGUAAUUACUGUCCACUCAGGGCUGUGAAAUUGAGUAUGUUCUCUAAAGAGGGACAAAAAGGGCAUCCUGAUCUUGAGGGAAGCCUUCUGUUCCUCCCAUCAUUUCACCUGCUCCCUAAGCCCAGGAGUUGUCAUGAGAGGCCACCAGGCCCCCACUCAAUCCCAGCUUGGGAACCAAAGUCACCCACCUUAGUUGUGUUAGGGUGGACCCGUCAACUAUCCCUGGUCCAGAUGAGAAAGAGGAGUCUCUCCCAGGCCUGGAGCUGGGAAAGAAUGUGUGGCCCAGUUGUCUGCACUUCUAAUUCUCAUCAUGGAGAAACCUUUAUUCCUGUCUCCCUUUCCUGAACUGAUUUUUUGUUGUUUUUGUUUCAUUUUGUUUUGGGGGGAUCGUUUCUUGCUCUUUAAUUGGGAGUCUCCAGCACCUUUGGGAUGCAGGCAGUUCUUGCCCAGGCCUUCUCGGAACCCUCACUCCCCUAGCCCACUCUUGCGCUACCUACAGGAGGCUGCCAACCUGGUGCACUCUGACAAGCCUCCCACCCAAAUCUCUCUCCUGCCAUUGUGUCCAAAAUCCCGCCAUUAGAGGAUCUUGUAGGGAGGAGAGUUUCUUGAAGGCUUUUAGGCCUUCCAGAGUCAGGACGGAAGUCAGACAACAGCAGGAAGUCCCCAAGCCUUUUCAAAGUUCCAAACCAAGCUCUCCUGAUUUUAAUGUAGAGAUCAUACCAACCCAGGUGGGGAGGAGGGUCCCCAGCCCCAGGUAGCAGCCAUCACCCCCUCCACUGAAAACGAUGUUGGAGGCUGCUUUGGGACUGCCCUUCUCAGCCCCCUGAGUCUGUUUUGUAAUGCCUGUGGUGCUCUCCCUCCCGGACCUUUCCUCUCGGGGGUCACCACACUUUGCUAACUCUUGUGUGCACAUAUUUUAUAAUAGAGUAGCGAGGGAAUGGUGCCGCCUCCAGCUUCCAUAAGCUGCCCGGGCUCUGGGGUCUCUGGGACAAUCGGGGCUGGGAAGUGACUGUGCUCUUAUUGUACACUCUUUAUUUCUCUGUAUCUUUGGCUUGUGCUCUUUGUAAUUAAUGGGAUUUGUCUGCCUUUUCAACACUAUACUGAGCAAUAACAAUAAAUGCACACGUGGAAAUGCAGA
ensembl:lncRNA